UACGGAGGGUGCGAGCGUUGUCCGGAAUCACUGGGCGUAAAGGGCGCGUAGGCGGCUGGGGAAGUCGGCGGUGAAAGCCCGGAGCUCAACUCCGGGUCGGCCGUCGAGACUCCUCGGCUCGAGCUCACUGAGAGGCAGAGUGGAAUUCCGGGUGUAGCGGUGGAAUGCGUAGAGAUCCGGAAGAACACCGGUGGCGAAGGCGGUCUGCUGGGGUGAGGCUGACGCUGAGGCGCGACAGCGUGGGGAGCAACAGG
rnacentral:rRNA from 1 species